rnacentral:lncRNA from 1 species
CUGGCAUCUCAGUCUCAGGCAGUGGUUCAACAGAUGGCUGCUGAAAGAGCCAGGAGACUUUCUAUUCAAGGAGGCAAAGAUUUUGGAGAGAUGGAAGGUGCUGAGGGCUGAAGACACCAGCUGGACACCUGAUGCCAUUUCCCUGCCCUUUUCUUCAAAGCUUUUAGGCAGAUGACCAAGGCAGGAGAGAGGCUGCUCAAAUCAAACCUGCACCCUCUUGAGCUGCUCCUAUAACAGACCUGAUGAUGGGAAAGCAGAACUGCAUGGCAAGGCAGGAAGAGGCUUCAGAAAGUGAGGCUGGCGGCUCCGGGCCAGGUGAGUCUGUC